UCCUGGCUCAGGAUGAACGCUGGCGGCGUGCCUAAUACAUGCAAGUCGAACGAGGUAGCAAUACCGAGUGGCGAACGGGUGAGUAACACGUAGGUAACCUGCCCUUAAGCUUGGGAUACCCAGAGGAAACUUUGGCUAAUACCGGAUAACAACAGAGAAGGCAUCUUCUUUGCUUGAAAGGCCCCUUCAAGGGUCACUUAAGGAUGGACCUGCGGCGCAUUAGCUAGUUGGUGAGAUAACAGCCCACCAAGGCGAGGAUGCGUAGCCGAACUGAGAGGUUGAUCGGCCACAUUGGAACUGAGACACGGUCCAAACUCCUACGGGAGGCAGCAGUAAGGAGUUUUCGGCAAUGGGGGAAACCCUGACCGAGCAACGCCGCGUGAGCGAUGACGGUCCUUUGGAAUUGUAAAGCUCUGUUGUAAGCCAUGAAUGACAGCUUGAGGAAAUGCAAGUUGUUUGACGACAGCUUACCAGAAAGCCACGGCUAACUACGUGCCAGCAGCCGC
rnacentral:rRNA from 1 species